UNCUUAAAGCGGGGAACCUUGGACAAGU
rnacentral:piRNA from 1 species